rnacentral:rRNA from 1 species
AUUGAACGCUGGCGGCAGGCUUAACACAUGCAAGUCGAGCGGAGAUGAGGUGCUUGCACCUUAUCUUAGCGGCGGACGGGUGAGUAAUGCUUAGGAAUCUGCCUAUUAGUGGGGGACAACAUUCCGAAAGGAAUGCUAAUACCGCAUACGUCCUACGGGAGAAAGCAGGGGAUCUUCGGACCUUGCGCUAAUAGAUGAGCCUAAGUCGGAUUAGCUAGUUGGUGGGGUAAAGGCCUACCAAGGCGACGAUCUGUAGCGGGUCUGGGAGGAUGAUCCGCCACACUGGGACUGAGACACGGCCCAGACUCCUACGGGAGGCAGCAGUGGGGAAUAUUGGACAAUGGGGGAAACCCUGAUCCAGCCAUGCCGCGUGUGUGAAGAAGGCCUAAUGGUUGUAAAGCACUUUAAGCGAGGAGGAGGCUACUGAGACUAAUACUCUUGGAUAGUGGACGUUACUCGCAGAAUAAGCACCGGCUAACUCUGUGCCAGCCGCCGCCGUAA